GAUGAACGCUAGCUACAGGCUUAACACAUGCGAGUCGAGGGGAAACGACAUCGAAAGCUUGCUUUUGAUGGGCGUCGACCGGCGCACGGGUGAGUAACGCGUAUCCAACCUGCCCAUCACUUGGGAAUAACCUUGCGAAAGUAAGACUAAUACCCAAUGACAUCCCACGAAGACAUCUGAAUGGGAUUAAAGAUUUAUCGGUGAUGGAUGGGGAUGCGUCUGAUUAGCUUGUUGGCGGGGUAACGGCCCACCAAGGCAACGAUCAGUAGGGGUUCUGAGAGGAAGGUCCCCCACAUUGGAACUGAGACACGGUCCAAACUCCUACGGGAGGCAGCAGUGAGGAAUAUUGGUCAAUGGGCGAGAGCCUGAACCAGCCAAGUAGCGUGCAGGAUGACGGCCCUAUGGGUUGUAAACUGCUUUUAUAAGGGAAUAAAGUGGGUCUCGUGAGACUUUUUGCAUGUACCUUAUGAAUAAGGACCGGCUAAUUCCGUG
rnacentral:rRNA from 1 species